rnacentral:rRNA from 1 species
UGCGCAGGCGGCCUGAUAAGUCGGAUGUGAAAUCCCUGAGCUUAACUUAGGAAUUGCAUUCGAUACUGGGAAGCUAGAGUAUGGGAGAGGAUGGUAGAAUUCCAGGUGUAGCGGUGAAAUGCGUAGAGAUCUGGAGGAAUACCGAUGGCGAAGGCAGCCAUCUGGCCUAAUACUGACGCUGAGGUACGAAAGCAUGGGGAGCAAACAGGAUUAGAUACCCUAGUA